rnacentral:rRNA from 1 species
UAAAGUUGUUGCAGUUAAAAAGCGCGUAGUUGAAUUGCGGGGUUAGUAGGUUGGUCGUGCCUAUGGUACGCACUGGCUUUACUGAUUCCUCCUUCUUGAAGAACUGUAAUGUCAUUAAUUUGGUGUUGCAGGGAAACAGGACUGUUACUUUGAAAAAAUUAGAGUGUUUAAAGCAGGCUAACGCUUGAAUACAUUAGCAUGGAAUAAUGAAAUAGNACGUUUGAUCCUAUUUUGUUGGUUUCUAGGAUUGACGUAAUGAUUAAUAGGG